rnacentral:rRNA from 1 species
CAUUACAAGUGAGGCUACCGAACGUUGGAAACAGCGGUUAGGAGCUUACACCCACCCGUGUUUACAUACUAUUGUUGCUUUGGCGGGCCGUGGCCUCCACUGCGGGCUCUGCUCGUGUGUGCCCGCCAGAGAACCAAACUCUGAAUGUUAGUGAUGUCUGAGUACUAUCUAAUAGUUAAAACUUUCAACAACGGAUCUCUUGGUUCUGGCAUCGAUGAAGAACGCAGCGAAAUGCGAUAAGUAAUGUGAAUUGCAGAAUUCAGUGAAUCAUCGAAUCUUUGAACGCACAUUGCGCCCAGUGGUAUUCCGCAGGGCAUGCCUGUUCGAGCGUCAUUUAACCACUCACGCCUAGCGUGGUAUUGGGGCACGCGGUCUCCGCGGCCCUCAAAAUUAGUGGCGGCGCCGGUGGGCUCUAAGCGUAGUACAUACUCCCGCUAUAGAGUUCCCCCCGGUGGCUCGCCAGAACCCCCAAUUUUUUACAGGUUG